UCGUGGUCUCAAAACCAAUCAGAGAUAGUGAAGAGCGGGGACCCUCCGUCUGAUUGGCUGUGUACGUGUCUGUGUGGGCGUGCCUGUGUAUGAAAUGCGAAGUUUUCUGACGGCGAGCCGGCAGCUGCAGUUACAGAAAAUUGAGUGGCAUAAAUGGAAUUAGUUCCAAAGCCUAACGCCACAGCGACGAUGUGGGAACAUUUUGGAUUCAAGCCAGAUGAACGCGGCCAUCCCGCUAACACCAACGAGCUGGUGUUCCUUGGGUCAACUAAUCAGCUCCCUCCAGCCACUUGUGUCUUGUCCAGGUGUGCCUCGUUGUCUUGUGACUUUGUAUUUAGUUCCUGCCUUCAUUCAGUCUGUGUCAGUUCAUUCAAGCCAAGCUUCCCUGUGGUCUGUAAUGACUGUACCUUUUUUGCCUUUUUUUUUUUUGGAACAAAAGUAUAUCCUGCACCUCCCUGCAUUUGGGUCCACUUUUUUCACCAUCACUGCAAAACCCUGACAGAAUGAAUCGACCAAAAGAAAUGGACCCGGCAGAACCAGAGGUGUUACACAGUGCUAUUUUCCACCGUGGUGAACUGCUUGGCCAGCACAGUCAGGCUGAAGAGUUAAAAGACACAAUUCAGAACUUUUCAUCUAUCGGUAUUAUGGACGUCCUGGCGACACAGGUGGACAAAUUUGUUUCCAGUUUGCCUUUAUGUCCAACUCAAACCCAGCUCCAGCGGCAUAGUCUUUUUUUUUUUGUUGUUGUUGAAAAUAAGUCAUUUUAUUGUACAUCCUACAAUCCUGGCUCCCACCUGGCUUCCUUGCAUUUAGGUCCACUUUUCCACCAUCACAAAACCUUGACAGAAUGUCUAUUGAUAUUAAAAUAUGU